GAGUUUGCAUUUCUAACACGUUUCCAGAGGUGGUUUUGUGCUGCUGUUGAACCACUCUUUGACAACCACCAGACUGAAUAAACAGCCUGAGAGACGUGGUGAUGGAGACGCGAGCACAAGGACGAGGCGUCACAUUCCUGGAACCAACUCCAGCAGCAUGGGAGACACCGGAGGAGUCCCUGGGUUGCACAAACAGUGAAGCACUCAGCUCGCUGAAGGUUGGUGAGUCUAUUCCUCAGUGUAUUACCAACAACUACCGACACAUGGCCACAGAAACCAGGACAGAAGAGUGAGUACUAAAUAACUUCUGGACACGCAAGAUUCCAUACAACGUUUUCUUGAAGAACAAUUCAGAGAGUUACCUGGAUGCAUAAAUUCUAGUCGAAGCUGCCUGACUCGUCUUACUGCAGUGGCUGGUGUGUGGCUGUGAUGCUGGCCGCUAUGCCACGGUCAUGCUGGCAGGGUGAUGCGUGGGACCCAGUGCGAGGGGAGCUGCCAGACCAAGAGCGACUAGGAAGAAGGAACAGGCCGUCCACUUCCGAAGGAAGAGCCCCUGAGCAUCUGACUGGAGAAAGAGCUGUCUACUCAAGUUCCCAAGAACUUCCGUGGCCAAGGAAUCCGUGGCACCAGGAGACUGCAGAGCCCAAACUCCGAGCAUGGUGAACAGUUCUUUUCCAUUGGAGGAGCUGUGGUACUAACAAGCUGGGGGGACUAAGGUGUCUUUCUCGCUCUUCGGCGUUCUCUCAUCGCUUGGCUCCAGGUAUGUGCAAAGCUGCAGGAAGUGGCCCACAGGGUGGGGCUAUGAAAGCCUGAGCUCUCUGUCUAGAGGACAACGAGAACCCUUGGAACCAGAAGAUACCAAGGAAAUCUCAGAAAAAAUAGCUCAGCCCCUUCAUGUUGUUUAUGAAUUCAGGGGCUGACUCUUGGUUUGUGUAUGUAUUGAUCCAACCCGAAACUAUUUAGACACGAGCACAGUGGUAGACCACUGCCCAGAUCCCUAGAGGGGCGCCUGAG